UACGAAGGGUGCAAGCGUUACUCGGAAUUACUGGGCGUAAAGCGUGCGUAGGUGGUUUGUUAAGUCUGAUGUGAAAGCCCUGGGCUCAACCUGGGAAUUGCAUUGGAUACUGGCAGGCUAGAGUGCGGUAGAGGGUAGUGGAAUUCCCGGUGUAGCAGUGAAAUGCGUAGAUAUCGUAAGGAAGACCAGUGGCGAAGGCGGGUCUCUGGACAGUUCCUGACGCUGAGGCACGAAGGUCAGGGGAGCAAACGGG
rnacentral:rRNA from 1 species